rnacentral:rRNA from 1 species
UACAGAGGGGGCGAGCGUUGUUCGGAAUUACUGGGCGUAAAGGGCGCGUAGGCGGCCUGUUAAGUCGAACGUGAAAUCCCUGGGCUCAACCCAGGAACUGCGUCCGAUACUGGCAGGCUUGAAUCCGGGAGAGGGAUGUGGAAUUCCAGGUGUAGCGGUGAAAUGCGUAGAGAUCGGGAGGAACACCUGUGGCGAAGGCGGCCGACUGGGGCCGACC